GACAGAGAGAGAGAGACCCAGUGAAGACCUUUGAAGAAGUGAAGCUACAACUGAAGACUUCAGAAGACUAUCACCAUGGUGACAUUGACCAUCAUUCUGCUUGUCAGCACAGCUUUUGCUCUGGGAGACACCUUUGUUCCCAUAGAUGGCAUCUUCCACCUCAAGACCCGCUGUGAGCGUGCUAGAGAUGCCGCGACACACGGCCCAAUUGGAGCCUUCAUCCCCACUUGUGACGACGAUGGACAAUACACCCCUGAGCAAUGUUCAGGCUCUACAGGUUACUGUUGGUGUGUGACCAGUACUGGACAGAAGAUCCCGGGUACUGAGACUCCACCAGGCACUGCUAGCAACUGCUAGCAACUGUUCCACCAAGAUGGACGUAGA